rnacentral:tmRNA from 1 species
GGGCUGGCGUCCGGGCGCGGUGUGCAUUAUAUUGGCGUUGUCGGGUUCGCCCGACUAUGGCGCUAAACGUCAUGUGGAAUAGGCCUUGCGGACCCGGGGGCGGUACCCGGCGCCUCCACCAUCAACCGGCUUCGACACUUUGUCGGGGGCGGCUCAUGGGGGCGAAACAGGAU